GAUGGCCAAAAAAUUAAAUAUAAUUUGGUGAAUUUAACUCCUAUAUAAAAGUUUUGUUUUUUCAAGCCUAAGGAUAUCGUUGAAGCUAUUGCUGUGGAUUACCGAUGUUAGACUAAAUAAUAGUUGACACCAAUUCGAUUUAUUAACAGUUUAUAAACUUUCUCCCUACAUAGUCUUCUUUCUUCGAUAAUUACUUUAACACAUAUAAAAUGGAAUUGUAAAUAUACUAAACGAAACGAUAAGACAUAGCCAAACUAUGAAGGAAUUAUGCAUAUAGCAUUUGAAUAAAUUAAAUACUGAAAGCUAAAAGAGCUGCUAUAGAGUACAAACUCAGAUUCUUAUAUCGCACCUGUGAUGAAUAAAUGUUUGAAGAAGCGAUUUUUAUUAACGAAAAUAUAACAUAAUAAAAGAGCUUAUUUUUUUUGCUUUGCUUUAAGAUAUUAGAAGUACUCUACUUUUACCCCAUAUUAAAUGUUGAAUAAGAAGAUAUGGUUUUCGCAUUUGAAAGCACAACGUCCAUGUCUUUUCGAUUAAGAUUCAUUAAGUAUUAUUGGUGAAUAUAAUUGAGUGCAAGGGACUCUCUCGCUGAAUUUACCAUAUGCAAAUAUAUCAUAAAUCCACAGAAACCAGUAUAGGAUGUCCGUUGAAUAAGGAAAAUUUUAUUUAAGUCUAACUCUGAUAAUACGUUUUGUAUGUCAGUCAAUUGAAUAUAAGUGCAAAUUUUUAUUUUUUUAAUGACCUAUUUAUUGUAAUAAAAUCACGUUUCUUUGUUAAAA
rnacentral:lncRNA from 1 species